GGGGGCGACACGGCUUUCGACGUGGAUAGCAAAACCCAAGGUGCAUGCCGAGGAUGCAGAUCCCCUCGUAAAUCCUUCUGCAAACUGAUAGUUGCCAACGACGACAACUACGCACUCGCCGCCUAAGAAACGGUAGAGUGCCGUCUCACCGGAGCCGUGCCUGUGCGUCCGGAUUUGAGGCGUCGAUUCUCACAGGAUCGUGAGGAGGCUCGUCCGGGGCCGAAUCGCUAAAACUCUACCGGACUCGCCGCGAAACUGCCCUGUCCGUCGGGUAGUCAGCGGUUAAAACUCAAUAGACGCGACUAAGCAUGUAGAGCCGAGGGCGGAGGAUCCACGGACGCGGGUUCGAUUCCCGCCGCCUCCACCA
rnacentral:tmRNA from 1 species